GAGCGGUAUUUGUUCUUCGGAACAGAGAGAGCGGCGUACGGGUGCGGAACACGUGUGCAACCUACCUUUAUCAGGGGGAUAGCCUUUCGAAAGGAAGAUUAAUACCCCAUAAUAUAUUGAUUGGCAUCAGUUAAUAUUGAAAACUCCGGUGGAUAGAGAUGGGCACGCGCAAGAUUAGAUAGUUGGUAGGGUAACGGCCUACCAAGUCAGUGAUCUUUAGGGGGCCUGAGAGGGUGAUCCCCCACACUGGUACUGAGACACGGACCAGACUCCUACGGGAGGCAGCAGUGAGGAAUAUUGGACAAUGGGUGAGAGCCUGAUCCAGCCAUCCCGCGUGAAGGACGACGGCCCUAUGGGUUGUAAACUUCUUUUGUAUAGGGAUAAACCUACUCUCGUGAGAGUAGCUGAAGGUACUAUACGAAUAAGCACCGGCUAACUCCGUGCCAGCAGCCGCGGUAAUACGGAGGGUGCAAGCGUUAUCCGGAUUUAUUGGGUUUAAAGGGUCCGUAGGCGGAUCUGUAAGUCAGUGGUGAAAUCUCAUAGCUUAACUAUGAAACUGCCAUUGAUACUGCAGGUCUUGAGUAAAGUAGAAGUGGCUGGAAUAAGUAGUGUAGCGGUGAAAUGCAUAGAUAUUACUUAGAACACCAAUUGCGAAGGCAGGUCACUAUGUUUUAACUGACGCUGAUGGACGAAAGCGUGGGGAGCGAACAGGAUUAGAUACCCUGGUAGUCCACGCCGUAAACGAUGCUAACUCGUUUUUGGGCUUUAGGGUUCAGAGACUAAGCGAAAGUGAUAAGUUAGCCACCUGGGGAGUACGUUCGCAAGAAUGAAACUCAAAGGAAUUGACGGGGGCCCGCACAAGCGGUGGAUUAUGUGGUUUAAUUCGAUGAUACGCGAGGAACCUUACCAAGGCUUAAAUGGGAAUUGACAGGUUUAGAAAUAGACUUUUCUUCGGACAAUUUUCAAGGUGCUGCAUGGUUGUCGUCAGCUCGUGCCGUGAGGUGUUAGGUUAAGUCCUGCAACGAGCGCAACCCCUGUCACUAGUUGCCAUCAUUCAGUUGGGGACUCUAGUGAGACUGCCUACGCAAGUAGAGAGGAAGGUGGGGAUGACGUCAAAUCAUCACGGCCCUUACGCCUUGGGCCACACACGUAAUACAAUGGCCAGUACAGAGGGCAGCUACCAGGCGACUGGAUGCGAAUCUCGAAAGCUGGUCUCAGUUCGGAUUGGAGUCUGCAACUCGACUCUAUGAAGCUGGAAUCGCUAGUAAUCGCAUAUCAGCCAUGAUGCGGUGAAUACGUUCCCGGGCCUUGUACACACCGCCCGUCAAGCCAUGGAAGUUUGGGGUACCUGAAGUCGGUGACCGUAACA
rnacentral:rRNA from 1 species